rnacentral:lncRNA from 1 species
AGCUAUUGGUAACCCUUUACAUUAUUUACAUUUACAUUAUUUAUUUACAUUAUCACCCGUAUGAAAGAAAUGCACUUAUUGAAUGUGUACUUAUACUGUAUUUCAAAUCUUAAAAAUACACGAAAACUGUACUUGUAAUUAAAUAAAAUCCACAUGAGUGCAAUUGUGAUUUUCAAGAGUAUGAUUUCAUGAAGUGUCUUUUAAAAAGCACACUUUGUAAUAAUGUCAAAUGAAAAGUUACUUUUAUAAGUAUGCUUAUUUGGAUGUGUUGCCCAACAUACUAAAGCAAAAGCAAAGUAACUGAUUACAGUUUUAACUGUAGUGUAAUUUGAAAGUAUCUUUAAAAGUUAAUAUAUUGCAAAUAUAACAGCAAAAGACUGAAAAACAUGAAGGAAGUGCAUUUAAAGUGCAUUUGUACUUCACACUACUGUAUAUAUUGAAGCACCAAAUACAACUGAUUCUGUGAACUAUACACGUGACAUCUGUUAAAUGUAUUUAGAGGAUCUAUUUAAAAGUGAAAAAGCAUGUGCAAUCAUGCAAAAUAAAAAAAAGGCUUUGCUUGACGUUGUAUGCUCCAGAAUGACUGACUCUCAGAGGACAGACAGGAAUAACUGGAUUUGCACGCCCUGAAACUCGCUUUCACAGAGGUACAGUAUGUAUAUUUAGGAGUCCACCCAGGCGUACAUCAGAUCAGCUCUGUCAACAUCACAAGAAAGAUAAAUUGGGUGCAUGUUAUUGAACUUACUGAAAUUUACUUUUUUACAGUGACUUUUAAAAGAUUUAAAGAGCACAGGAGAUACAAAAGAGAAAAAACAAACAGGAGUGGAACUGAAGAAGAGAGGAAAAUUAAAGAAAAAAGAAGACUCUACACGUCAGAAGGCACUUGACAAAGGCCUGAUCCAGGAGACUAGUCAUGGAGGAGGAUUACAGGAAACCACCACCGCUUUAUGAAGAAGUUAUUACCCAGCAGCACACGAGCAACACUAGUCAGAGCCGCUCCGCUGAUAACAGGCAGGGCUGCUGCUGCAGGUGCUGUAUUAGCACCAAGAACUGUCUGAUGAGUCCGGAGUGCGGUCGAGCUCUUAGCAUCGCCAAUGUGAUUGCCAUGUGUGGCAUGUGCAUUCGAAUGUUUGUCUAAAACAGUCUCCUGUGGACCAUCUAUUCCAGUUCUCUCAACCAGUGGUGGCCUUCUCAAAUUAAAAGGGAAACAAAGACAUUUGCUCUGUUCCAAAACCUAGUGAUCUGCAACAUUUAUAAGCUCCCCUGCAAUACGAAUCCCAAUGCUGUUCCAAAAAGAAUGCAGCACUGCAUGUAUCAUUCAGCUAACUGACUAAAGUUUCACCUUUACGAUAUGUGUUUUCUUUUUGGAAGACAAUAGCAGACAAUAGAGUUAAACAGUUGUAUUACUAUUUUCUCUUUAAUCCAAGUCGCCUAUGUUUAUCUAGAGCUUCAUACAAUACUAAACAGGAAAGAAACAGAAUCAGUGACGCAAACCUCAUCAAAUAUAAUGGAAAGCAGCUCUAACAAGACAUUUCUAAAAUAGUUGCAGUCAUUUGGAAACGACAAUAAAUCUCUUUUUUUUUCAUAAAUUGGAGCCAGUCAUGUAAUUGGAUGUGGCAUCCCCCUUAAUUAUGUAUCAGGUUAGCCAAACUUUGCAUUUAUCAUUAACAUUUCUUCUAAAACUUCUUGUGUGAAAAUAUAAUUUAUAUUACAAAAUUAUGUUGUAAAUGAUGUGCACUAGACCGACAGGUCAAUAAAUCACAAUGCAAGAUUAUUUUCCCAAUUGUGGUGGAUUGUUUUCCUUUAAGACUGUAAAAUAUUAAACCUGUAGACUGAGAAUGUGUAAAUAUGUAUUUUCUCCACUGUGGAUAUAAAGCCUUCUGUCUUAUAGCCGGUAAGCAAACAAAUACCUUUACUUAAAUACAGCUGGAGUGUUUUACCUUCAGGAGUAAAUAUUUAUCCAGUUAAAAACUCUACACUUAAAUAUGUAAAAUAAUAAAGAUGUCUGACAUUUGCAAAUAAGGAUGAAUAUGGAGUCUUUAUUUUGUGUCAUUUUAAAUAGUAUUUACAUCAUAAUCAGAUGAUAAAUUGUCCCAGAGGAAAAAAAUAAGUGUUUUUAAUAGUUUUUUAAUCAUUAAGAGAGAAUAAUUUAUGAUGGCCAUUUGGGAUUAAGAUGACAUGGUUGCUGCAGUGAAAUAUUUUUUAUCUCCUAAUUAUACCCUGAAUAUUUGUUGUGUCAAGAAUCACAAGUCAAGCAUUUCUCCGGGGCUCAUAAUUAUUCAGGUUUUCUCUGGCUGUUCUCGCUCACUGGCCCAUUUUUCAAUGCCUGAGAAACAAUACAAGAUUUAAUCAGUCUGAAGGAUCCAAGUAGAGUGUUUUAGUCCAUGUUCAUAAUACUGGAGUCAGAAUCCAUCAGAGUAAUGAAGGGAAUCCAAUACCAUCAUCAAAACACACAAGCAGAUAUUCAGUGAACAAGGGAACAAAUCACAGAUACAAACCACUCCGAAUGAAAUACAUACGAGAGCCAUGAACAAAAAGAACAGAUUGUUUUAUAUAUGCUAAACAAAGCAAUGCACAUAUGGAGUGAACACAGUGCCUGUAUGGAUGUGAAACAGAACAUUUUAAACAUAUUGUUUUGAUUAUAGCCACAAUGAGGCAGAGCAACAUCUAUAAACUCAGAGAUUACCAUUUCUUAGCUUUAUACACUUGAGAUCAUCUAAGAAUAGACAAAAAAUAAUGAUAAAUUAAUUUUUUAUUGUUUUGGAUUUGUUAUUGUCCAUGUCAGAUAUCAGUUCUUUAAUGAAUUCUUUACUUUCACUCUCAGUAUGAGAUAUUUGAUUCUCUCUGUCCAGCAGAGGUGAAGUAGAAGGUGAUUCUUCUGCUGUUCUAAACAUAGUCAUGACCUGUCAAUCACUGCAACUAUUCCCAAUCAGGCAGUAUUGGGCAACACUUUGAGUUCUCUGGAAAAUGGAAGAAGUGCAUGCACAAUCUAUGAAUUUCAAUUGCCAAUAUAUUAUUUCUUAGUGCAACAGCCAGUGGUGGAUAUUGAUUUCAAGAUGAAGUCUCAGCAGAUCAAUGCAUAUGAAUGUGGUGUGACUAGGCUGGAUUGAUAUUCUUCUAUACAGUGGUACAUUCUUAAAGCCCUGGAUGACAUGUAAAACAACAACUCCUUGUGAUACAUUUACAAAAUGUGGCUGCACUUUAAUACUGUGCGCUCAAAAAGUAUUUGGACACUUAAAAUGUAUGAAUGCCAUUGAUUGGAAUCAGGAGAGCGACUAGACCUGCCAACAUUUUCUAUAGAGAUGUACUGUGACCCAGCUAAAUUAUUCCAUGUAAAUUAAGCUCUGAACCUUUUUAAAAUAUGGUGUAUUUGCUCAAAAUAGGCUUGUACAUUUGACAUUUUUAUUUAUUUGAAACAUUAUUCUCUAAUCAUUCACUAUUGUGCAUAACAUAUGUUCAUCUGGAGUUAAUAAAACAUGAAUUAAAAGUAUUUCUGCUUUAAUAUCUUAUAAUGGUGUAAAACAAAGGGAACAUCAGAGGCCUUAACAGGAAAGUUUUGAGCGCUUUUCACACAAAUUGGAAGUGGUUAAUGUGGUCACUGUCUUGUAUCAUAUAUUUAAUGAAUUUACCUAAUUAAAACAGUUCUUCUGGUAUGUGUGAUUUCUAAAACACUGCUACACAUCCUCAAGAAGAACGGAAUGCAUUAAAGGAGAGCUCACACAAAAUUGUCAUCAUU